rnacentral:rRNA from 1 species
CAGCAAAAUGCGAUAAGUAGUGUGAAUUGCAGAAUUCAGUGAAUCAUCGAAUCUUUGAACGCACAUUGCGCCCUUUGGUAUUCCUUAGGGCAUGCCUGUUCGAGCGUCAUUACAACCAUCAAGCGCGGCUUGUUGUUGGGCGCCUGUCCCGCCUCCGGCGCGGACUCGCCUCGAAUCGAUUGGCGGCCCCUCCCGGCGGCUCGGAGCGCAGCAGAAUUGCGACUCUACCCGCGGGGACGGCGGCACCCAGAAGCCUUUCCUUCAUAAUCGACCUCGGAUCAGGUAGGGAUACCCGCUGAACUUAAGCAUAUCAAUAAGCGGAGGAAAAGAAACCAACAGGGAUUGCCCUAGUAACGGCGAGUGAAGCGGCAACAGCUCAAAUUUGAAAUCUGGCCUCUUCGGGGUCCGAGUUGUAAUUUGCAGAGAGAGCUUUGGCGUCGGCUGUGGUCUAAGUUCCUUGGAACAGGACGUCGCAGAGGGUGAGAAUCCCGUAUGUGGCCGCCAGCCUUCGCCGUGUAAAGCCUUCUCGACGAGUCGAGUUGUUUGGGAAUGCAGCUCUAAAUGGGAGGUAAAUUUCUUCUAAAGCUAAAUAUUGGCCAGAGACCGAUAGCGCACAAGUAGAGUGAUCGAAAGAUGAAAAGCACUUUGGAAAGAGAGUCAAAAAGCACGUGAAAUUGUUGAAAGGGAAGCGCUUGCAGCCAGACUUGCU